CGUAGGGUGCAAGCGUUAAUCGGAAUUACUGGGCGUAAAGCGUGCGCAGGCGGUUGUGCAAGACCGAUGUGAAAUCCCCGGGCUUAACCUGGGAAUGGCAUUGGUGACUGCACGGCUAGAGUGUGUCAGAGGGGGGUAGAAUUCCACGUGUAGCAGUGAAAUGCGUAGAGAUGUGGAGGAAUACCGAUGGCGAAGGCAGCCCCCUGGGAUAACACUGACGCUCAUGCACGAAAGCGUGGGGAGCAAACAGGAUUAGAUACCCUGGUAGUCCACGCCCUAAACGAUGUCAACUAGUUGUCGGGUCUUAAUUGACUUGGUAACGCAGCUAACGCGUGAAGUUGACCGCCUGGGGAGUACGGUCGCAAGAUUA
rnacentral:rRNA from 1 species